GUAGUCGUGGCCGAGUGGUUAAGGCGAUUGACGAGAAAUCCAUUGGGGUCUCCUCCUGCAGGUUCCAGUCCUGCAGGCUAUA
rfam:Danio rerio chromosome 4, GRCz11 reference primary assembly.